UACGGGGGGUGCGAGCGUUGUCCGGAAUCACUGGGCGUAAAGAGCUCGUAGGCGGUUUGUCGCGUCUGCUGUGAAAACUCGGGGCUUAACCCCGGGCCUGCAGUGGGUACGGGCAGACUAGAGUGCGGUAGGGGAGACUGGAAUUCCUGGUGUAGCGGUGGAAUGCGUAGAGAUCCGGAAGAACACCGGUGGCGAAGGCGGCCUGCUGGGCAGUAGCUGACGCUGAUGCGCGACAGCGUGGGGAGCAAACAGG
rnacentral:rRNA from 1 species